CCGCUUUCAACCCUAUUGUUGUCGUUGACCAGAAACACUUCGACCAGAAAGCUGCGAUGGAGAACAUCGUCGUCUAGAUCUACUUUCAAAUCCGCUUCUAGAUAACAAUGUCAUUGUUAUCGCCGUCAGCUGUAGGGUUGCGCCAGAGAAUCGGUACCCGGCUGCAUUUGAAGAAGGGCUCAAAUUCUUGAACUGGUUGGGGUAGCAGGCGAAUCUGAUUUAGUGUGGUUAGCCUCCUGGGAACACACGCGAAGCUGGUGCUGAUAUCAGGACUCAGGAGAUCCGAUGCUCAACAGCGUAUCCUGAUACAUUUGGAGCGUCAAUUGUGGGACCUUCGUUGGCUGCUAAUGGGGACCCUUCCAGGUUCCGUUCUAAUCCAGUGGUUCCCCUUUCCUUCUCUGCAUUCAUUACACGUUUUGUCUACAUAGGGAUGUCCAUUCUCUGCUUUGCAUUUCUGAGGAAAAAACGAAUUUUCAAUCUUGAUUUGAACUAUAAUUCUUGACUGAAUGCUUAUUUCGGAAAAUUUUAUCAUAUCUGUCAUUCUGGACUGUGUUUCACAGAAGUGCGAUGUGUACAAAUUACAAUUUCGGGGUGGUUUUGUUCGACUAAAUAUCAGGGAUGAGGUGACGGGGAAAUCACUUGGUGGGAUCUGCUGUGUCUAUUGUGCUGUGGACGGAGCUGUGUCCCCAAUCAAAUCCACUCGCAUGACCUUAACCUUCUCCCACAUCUCCGUCCAUUGCACAGUGGACAGAUCAGAUCCCAGCAACAAAAGAUGCAUGGGUCACUGUCAUUACUAGUCUAAGCCUCACAAGAUUCAAAUUGUAUGACCUUUCCUAUGCCGAUGGCAGGCAAAGGAACAACUACAAUCAGUACCAAAAAAGACGUUGCUGAAAGUGUUGCGCUCAUCUUCGGGGUUACCGGGCUCGUUGGCAAGGAGAUUGCCAACAACUUAUUAGCCAAAUCUGGGUGGAAGGUAUAUGGCAUUGCUCGCAAGCCUGAUUUCUUCACCCCCAUUCAACAUCGUAACUACAGGUUCAUUUCGUGUGACCUCCUAGACCCUGUACAAACUGUGCAGAAGCUCUCUUCCCUGAAUGGGGCGACCCACAUCUUUUGGGUCACUUGGGCCAGCCAGUUCCCUCUGGACUCGUCGGAGUGUUGCGAUCAGAACAAGGCCAUGAUGUCUAAUGCCUUGGAUGCUAUUCUCCCCAAAGCUAAGGCACUGAAGCAUGUCUCUCUUCAGACUGGGACCAAGCAUUAUGUAUCUCUUAGCGGACCUUUUGACAACACAGUGCGACGCUACGACGAGGAGAGUCCCAGAGUCAAUGAAGGCCAUAAUUUCUAUUACAUGCUAGAGGACUUGCUCAUUGAGAAACUAAGGGGUAAAGUGUCAUGGUCAGUGCACCGCCCAGGGUUAAUAUUGGGAAGUUCUCACAGGACUGCUUUUAACUUCAUCGGUAGCCUCUGCAUCUAUGGGACGAUAUGCAAACAUCUCCACCUCCCCUUCGUAUUUGGAGGUGCAAGAGAGUGUUGGGAGGAGGUCUACAUAGAUGGUUCAGAUGCCAGGCUUGUUGCUGAGCAACAUAUAUGGGUAUCAACGAAUGAUAAUGUAUCUUCAACAGAUGGCCAAGCCUUCAACGCAGUAAAUGGUCCAAGCUUCACAUGGAAACAGAUCUGGCCUGCCCUUGCUGUUAAGUUUGGAUUGCAGGCAGCAGAAGACAUGUUCUCGCAAGAUUUUCUAUUUUCAACUUCCAUGGCAGACAAGGAAAGUGUGUGGGAAGACAUUGUGGUGAAGGAGGGCUUACGACCAACCAAGAUAGGAGACCUGGCUAAUUGGACAUUCUUAGAUGUCCUGUUCCGGUUCCCAACAAAGCUACUGGCAGCUCGAGACAAGGUUGAUCGGCUUGGUUUCACGAUGACUUAUGAGAUGUUGGAUUCCAUAUUGUAUUGGGUGGAUUGCAUAAGGGAUGAGAAGCUCAUUCCUUAGAAGUUUGACCUCAAAUGUGUCACUUGGUAGGGGGACAGUGUGGUGCACCACAAUCCAGGCUAUCUCGCUGAUGUCUUUCCAAGGAUUGGCCAAAGAGAAUAUGCUCAGGGAUAAGCUGUUGUCCCAUCCAUUGCUGUUCUUAUCAUAUUUGCUUCGAAUGAUAGAGACCCAAGUCUAUCAUGUUCUAUUGGGAAGCACCAAAGCCAUUUACCCAGUAGGGAAAUAUUCCUUUCAAGCCGAUGACCUAAUCACAGGCCGCCUUCCUUCCAUCAACAUGCAGAGCACUUUCCACCUAACUAAAUGAUCCCUUCUAUAACUACCUCCCACCAAAAGAUAAUCACGUUUGCAGCUUCCUUAUAUGAUUCCUCACCGUGGCUGCAGCUUUAAAUAGAGAAAGUAAGUCAGCAGGUUGGAAAGGGUUUGCCUUUACGAGGGUGUCUUCCACCUUUUGAGAAAUAAUUCAUCUUCCACGGAUACAAUCUCCUCUCACACCUGUACAGUGCAAGAUCCAGGAAACUAACAGUCUUUGGGAUUUCCAUUCAAAGAUUUUAUUUUAUUUUCUGAUGGUUCUAUCCACAUCCUCUGCUCAGUUGUUCCUUUUGCGGGAUUCUCCAGCAUCACUUGCACCAUUUGCUGCUGUGUUGAUCAUCCUAGAGGAUAUUUCAGACCCCUUUGGGGGGGGUUCUUUCUAUUAAAUGCCCACUGAAGUUGAAUCCUUUGUUCUGUCAGCAUCUAACUCUAGAGCUGUUGGACCUGGCUGGGUUUCCAAGCUGGGCCAAGAAUGAUUACCCCUAGAUGAGCCCACUCUUGUACUUUUUUGGAGGGUAAGGGGGCAUGAAAGUAAGACUUUCCUCAUUGCUUCCCAUUAUAUCGGCCAAUAAUUUUAUCACACUUUACCUGAGUCAUCUGCUGUUCAUUUUUUCAUUCUCCAUGUAGAUUUGUGGUGGAAAAAUUGAUAUUGUCCGUACACCACUGCCUGGACUGAACUUUUUUAUAAAUUUAUUGUAUUACAGUUUACAGAGAACAUGAUUCUUGAUA